GGAUGUGAAGGUGAUCUGGCUGCGGCAUUGAUCACCAGGGUUGAUUUGGCUUAUCUGGAUGGCUAGGUGGAUGUUCCAUUUCACCCUCACAGCUCCACGUGUGUCCCUCCAAAAGCUGUGUGUUGGGUGAAGGAGGACAACUUUCCCUGAUAGAGGAUGUUUUUUAGGUCAAGGGUAGCUGUGCUCCCCUGCUAGAACCUCCAGACAAGAUCUCAAGGUCCAAAUAGUCUUUUGGAGGGAGUUUAACCUCAAACAUGCAGUGGCAGUU
rnacentral:snRNA from 1 species